CUGUGCGACCCCAUAGACGGCAGCCCAACAGGCUCCCCCGUCCCUGGGAUUCUCCAGACUUGGCUGUCUUUGCAGACUUUGACUUGUCCUGUGCUGGGGUCAGCUGAGGUCCUGAUGGUUUGCAGACUGUGAGUUGUCCUCCACUGGGGUCAGCUGAGGUCCUGAUGGUUUGCAGACUUGGUUUGUGCUGCACAUGGAUUCAUUCCACGUAAGAGUCCCCUCCUUCCACCCGUUUUCAUCUUUAUUUUUUAACAUGGUCUUUUUAUAUCCGUGCUCAUCAGAGAACUUCUCGGGAAGUGUCGUGUCGGUGUCCCUGGCUGCCUUUUCAUUUUCUUCUACGUCGGAUCAUCAGCGAACGCGCUUCCGGCACUUUUCUCUCAGGCCUUGUGUGCUCACCCUCGUUCCCUUUCAGCGUCUCAAGCACUGAGGCCGCUCGGUGUGGACGCUGGUGUCCCACGGUGUGCUUCUUUACACAGUGCGUCACACCCGUGUGUGGGGUCCCAGGCUCCUCCUCUUUGGGUUCCCGAAUGUCACGGCCUUUUGUCCUAACCUGGGCUUUGUGUGAAGUGGGGAAAGGGAGGAAGCUGGGGGUGAACCCCAACCCACACAUCAAGGCCGGACCGAGGGCCAAGUAGACAGCUCUGGAGCCACUAGCUGGGGCUUCCAGUGGCCACUAGACAGCCAGGCGUGAAGUAAGGGCUCCACUGAGUCCCGGGGAAACGUGUGAGUUCCUGGCACAGGGAACCGGGAAGCUACUAAAUGUGUGUGAAGUGCAUCCCUACUUUUGUGUGUGUGGACUUUCAUACACACCACAUCUUAUUUUUCCCCAAACGUGGAAAUAGAUUUUCUGUCUUAUCUAUUGAUGAGAUUUUAAAAAUCAGUAAAAACAAAAUAACACAAAAAUCUGAUGCACUGAAAAAAAGGAAGAAAGUAAAUGCCUGUAUUUCACCGCCUGCCGAUGACCGGCACGCACGCUUGGCAGCAGGGCCCAGAACAUACGUCGUUCUCUUUUUGUCUCUUGCUCUUUGCGGUUUCUGGUCAUGAGGACCAGUUCAGUGAGUCUCAUUGAAAUCUACUUGUGUUUUGGUGCCUUCGUGCUCAAAAACGUAUGCUCCUGUACAGGAAUUUCCCGGACUCUGCUGUGAGACAUCUGUGGCAUUGAUAUCAAUGCUAAGAAGAAUGUUAACGAGAGCCAGAUUUCAUCGAACACUGUUUAAGCCGGCGUUUUGUAAGCCCUCUCUGUGCGCUCUAAUUUAAUCCUGACCACAGGCACAUGAAGUAGGUUUGUAUUGGCUGCACCACGUGGCGUGUGGGAUCUUCAGCUCCCCAACCAGGGAUCAAUCCCACAACACCUGCUGUGGACGCUCAGAGUCCUAACCACUGGACCACCAGGGAAGUCCUCACCCCAGUGUAGAGAUGGAAACUUGACUGUAGGCUGUGACUUGCCCCUGAGGCCACAGUUAGUAAGACGCAGAGUCAUCAGGGCUCAGACACGAGUGGACCCUGAUGGAAGCUUCUGGCCCCGCCUAGGAUAUCACACAAGGUUAUGGGCUUGUCCCCCUUCCCUGACGGAGUCACCCUCGAGGAACCGUGUAACAGGCUCGUUUUCUCUGGUUCCCCUUCUCCUCCAGAGACUCUGGAUCCCAGCCGUGGGAACUUGCCACGCUGAGUUUAAUACCCGAGCCUCUGGGUUGAUGAGGCUCCAGCAAAAUCCCCACCGGUUCCUGAGUGAUGUCCUCAGUCCUUUGCUAGAAGUCCAGUCUUCUGGCGUCCCAGGCCAGGAUCUGGGAAAUAAGAGCCUCUCUCCGAAGCCUCCUCAGGAGAGCGGCUGGUCUUCAGCGGCGACAUGGCCGGCGUGCACGUGAGCAGCUUCGUAAGCCUGUCUCCUGCCCAGUGACGCGCAAGGUUGAGCAGGUGGGUUUGGAGAGUGAGAACGGAGGACGGGAGAGGGAGAGCCGAGCAGGGGAUUUCCUUCCCUCCCACACUGGCUUCACCCCGGUCUGUCUCCUCCGCUGUGGUCAGUGUCCUUCUGAAACACACGCUUGACUGUGGGCCUCCCAGCACUGCUGUGAAGCUGGGCUCAACUCUUAAACACGGCGUCUGAGGCGCCUCUGUCAUCCCGAGCCUACGCCGUCCCCAGCCCCGUUUCCAGGGCUCCUCGCCUGAAAUAGCCGCUCCAGCAGCGUUCGGCCAUGGGGCAUCUGUCAGGAACACAGCCUUCCACCUCUGGCUCUCACAACUGCGUCCUUACCACCUCACCUGCUGCCCUCUGAACUGCCAAGCCCAAGGUUCUUUAAGACAUAACCCGAGGGAAAUGCCCUCUGUAGGAUCCCUGCAGAUGCUUCCAAGGAAAAUAAGUACCUUGGGUUUUCUUCUGUAGCAUUGUAUUUCAGCCCUAGAAAACCGUGAAUUCCUUGCGGACAACGGUCAAGACUUGCGUUUUUCUGAGAUUCCAAUGCCAACUGCCAAGUACAGCUUAAUAAGGGAUUGGGGAAUACUUGCAAAAGAAAGACUGAGUUUGUGAAAUCUAGGAAGUAAUUCACAGGGGAUCAAGGAGUCACACACUAUAGAAAGUAUAAAAGGUAAUCUCAUGUUGGCAAGACAGAGGAUUACGUGGAACCUUAUCAGUAGAACUUAGGUAAAUAUUGACAUGCCGAAUCAAUGGGUCUUAACCCCCACUGCAAUCAUAAUUACCUGGGACUUUAAAAAAAGCCCAAUGCCUGGACUGUCC